rnacentral:lncRNA from 1 species
AGUUGCAUGUGUUCUGUGCCAUCUGGAUUGUGGGGAGGGAUCAUCACCAAAAAUGGUAAAUGGAUGUCCAAGUUGUACAGAAUGCGUCAAAGAUGGUAAGUCAUUGCGAGGUAUAAUUAUAAAUAGAAUGAUUACAAGCAUUUCCACCGGGGUUGUCUUUUCCUGUUUAUUCAAAUAAGGGAAUUUUGAAAAAGUAUUUAAUGUUAGUCAAGUUUACAGCAUAUGACAUUCGUCAUUUUCGUAUUACGAUAUUUGCAAAAUUGACAACUCAAAUUUUGGUAGUUUUUGUAAAAAUUUUAAUUUAACUACACAUAAAAUGUACUUUUUUUUUCUCCGGAGAAAUCAAAUCUAUGUGGUAGAUAAAUUACGUAUUGUAUUUCGGAAAGAUACAAAUAUCAUUUGAACCAAAUUUUUACCAACAUAUAUACAAUUUAAGAUAUUGUAAUUGUUAUUGAUAGCUCUAACCAAUUUGUAUUUUAUGGACAUUGAAAUAAUAAUGUUGAAUUGAAUAAUGUAUUUCUGUUAUACCUCUUUGUAUUAAAAUUCCAAAAUACUGGUAAACCAUUUUUAGAAUAUACGAAAUUUGUUUGGAAUGUUUUUUAUAUGUUUGCACACCGUCCAUGAUAUAAGAAUUCUUAAACAGAAGGAAAACGUAGGAAUUCAGCUGGGUGUACACAAUUUUAACUUUAGAAUAUGCCAAAUAAAUGUGGUUUAAUUUUUAUUUUGAAGCGAAAAGAACUUCACCACCUGGUAAGUUUUACUAACUAUUCAUAUAUUUAUAUAUAUACAGGAAAUUACUAAGAAUACCAAAUUCAGCCUUUGAAAAUAUACCAUCAUGAUUAAGUUUGUUAUACAUUAACAUGUAUACAUAUUAUGAGGGUCAAGAUUGACAGGCUGUUAUAUGUACAUAUAUCUCUUGUUGUCGCAUACAUGGUUGAGACUACAAAAAACACAAACUUUUAAAUACCAAACGAGGACGUGCGUCGACUGACUCCAGCUCUGGACUACUACAAUAUUCUCUUUUUUGAAAUACUUCAAAGUUACGUAUCCUUUUUGUCAUAGAACUACACAUGCACACCUUUCAAAUAUUACCAAUUUGAUGUAUGCUUGUAUUACACCAAGGAAACAAUAGAUGAACACUACUUUUUAAAAGUUAAAACCUUUAUCCUGUUUAAAUAGAAUCGGGUGUAAGCAACGAAUAAAUUUAAUAAGCCGUCUAACGCUGUUAGUAACCCACUCUAUGAAUACUUUUACAUUAGUGGUAAAUAAUUAAAUAAAUGGGGACGUUUAAUCCUAUUUUUCUUGGUACAUGCGGUAGAGAGAAAGUGUAACGCUAUCUAAAAUCCAGAAACCCUUUUAACAACUAUUUGAGUGGUCAUAAUGUGGCCUUUUCCAACGUAGACUGUCUAUAAUUUAAAUCCUCAUUUACUAGUGAUAGUAUGCAUUUCACCGACCUUGAAGUCGGACGGUCUUCAUUACAGGACCUACGUAUUGUAAACUGAACGUUUAGCAGCACAAAAUCAAUCAAUCUGGAAAAAGAUUACCUAAUUAAAGAAAAAAAGAUUACCUAAUUAAAGAUACCUAGAUUAUUUGUUUUAAAGUAAGACCCGUGUUUCAUCUUCAAAACACUUAUAAUUUGUUAAAAUGGUCAUUUAAACUACAAUGUUGAAAAAUAUGGAUGAUCCCAGAUUCCGAGAAAAUUUGUGAAAGUUUGUAAGGCGUUGGUUAUAUCAGAAAAUGUUUUCAAAGUAAGACAGUAUUCAGAUUAGACAUUUAAAUGCAUAAGAAAUAAUUUUACGAACUCGUUGUUUUUUUAUUUUCCUUAUCUGAAGUUUCCAAAUGAAAACAUCGUUAUAGAUUGUGUACAAACCUCUAGAUCUUUUAAGCGAUUAUUUUGUAAAUUAUAUGGAAUCCUUUAAUUUGAGAACUGCAGACAUAUGUAUUUGCUGUUAAAUUAUAAGUUAACUCUUAAUCUAGUAGGACAACUUGCGGGAAAUCUUUUUCUUAUUCGAUGAGCAAUUUGUAUCAUGCAAAACACAGUAUGUUAAAGUAUUUUGUAUUCAGAAAGAGAAAAUAUGCAGUAUCCACUGUGUAAUUUAUGUUCUAGUUGCAUGUGCUCUGUGCCAUCUGGAUUGUGGGGAGGGAUCAUCACCAAAAAUGGUAAAUGGAUGUCCAAGUUGUACAGAAUGCGUCAAAGAUGGUAAGUCAUUGCGAG